GCCAAGGUGGCUUAGUGGCUAAAGCACCUGCCUGGUUAGCUGGAGACCUGGGUUCGAUUCCCGGCUUUGGUA